rnacentral:rRNA from 1 species
UACGAGGGGGGCAAGCGUUGUUCGGAAUUAUUGGGCGUAAAGGGCGCGUAGGCGGUGCGGUAAGUCACCUGUGAAAACUCUGGGCUCAACUCAGAGCCUGCAGGCGAAACUGCCGUGCUUGAGUGUGGGAGAGGUGCGUGGAGUUCCCGGUGUAGCGGUGAAAUGCGUAGAUAUCGGGAGGAACACCUGUGGCGAAGGCGGCGAUCUGGGAAGAUACUGACGCUGAGGUGCGAAAGCGUGGGGAGCAAACAGG